CAACAUAUUUUCCCUUUUUCCUCAUAUUCAUUUAGUUUCGUGUUUUUGGUACGUAGUGUUACUCAGUUCCUAUCAAGGGGCAUUCCGUUCGUAUGCAACUCUUGGAUCGUCCGAUCGCUCGACACCUGACUGAGGAACACUAUGCCGUAAUUUCUGAUUGAUCCCUCUCCUUUUUCAAGCUUUGCAUUUGUUUGUUUUCUUGAUAACCACUGUGUUGUGUCUGAUUCAGUUUGUGGUCACCUCUAGGGGUACCUGCUACCUCUGUCAACCAAGCGGUAUUAUUACAAGGUUUUCCCCCCUGAACACUUCAGCUCUUCAUUUGGGUGGGGCCUUAGUAGAUGUCCAUAGUAAAGAGACUAGCAUGUUAUUGUCACAUGGUCGGUGUGAGCGGUUAGCCUCGGUGGGGAGCAGGAGGGUAGAGGUAGGCCUAACAAGUCUUGGAGAGAGCUUAUUAGGCGGGACAUUGCGCAGCUGGAGCAGACUGAGGACAUGUCCCUGGACAGGAGGGUGUGAAGGCUUUGCUUGUAUACUGGAGCUACUAGCAGCACCCUUUUACAUCUUGUCUCAGAAUCUACUUCUCCUCAAAUCGCGGCUGAUAGUUGAAACUGCAGCUACCCUUUCACAUUGCUUAACUAUCUACUUCCUCUUUGUAAAGCUACCUGACAUGGGGCUUGCAUCUGGACAAAGCUUUAAUAGCUUGGUGAGCCUGUUUGGAAGGGGCUAGCUUCUGAAGCCAAGCCCAUGCCUUACCUAGCAACUCAUCAAAUGGGAAUGGAUUUUGGUCACUUGUAAUGACAAGACACCUUUUGUGCUUGUGUUCUUAAGCUUAAGGAUUUGUAGACCGAUCAGGAUGAGGCAAAUUCUUCGUUCUCUGAAGGACAAUUAGGAGAUGUCAAUUAUAAUGCUGCAAGUUCCUGUAUAUCUAAAGAAGGAAGCUUCCAAUUCCCGAACCCCCGUCUAACUUGGAUUCUGAACCCCUGCCAAUCAAGAAACUGUCUGGACGUCCUUGCAACACAUGCUGCUGCAGCUGCCGCGUUAUGUCUUUGGUUUCAUCUGUCAGCGGUAUUUCAUUAGUACAAGCUUUCAUCUUAAAGAACUAGUUUCAAAAGCACUGCCAGUAUGUUGAGGAACUAGCUAAAUGGAGCAUGGUUAUCCUCAUGUUCCUUGACUGAUAGAGAGAUAUGACAUUUAGGAUCAUUUACUCCACACUAUUCAUCAGGAGCUAUUUCCAGGAUUCACCCUCAUUUUCUUUUGAUGGGUGCCUGCCUUCUAGUUGGACCAUUCUUCUUCUUUGUGGACUCAUCACUCUAAUCUCGGAAAAAGAUAUUUUUGGAACACUUGUCCGUGGGAAUAACCUCUUUCGCUGUAGCAGCCUUUAUUAUCUAUCAUUACAAAAGGAGCUUUAUCAACAAAAUCAUACUUUUCCGGGGCAUGCUGACUGAAGAAUAAAGUCACUCUAGCGAGAUCAAUUUACCCUGCCAUCAAUUCUCAGACUUAUGGAUGCUUUAUCUUGAGGUUCGCUUUGACAUGGUACCUCUGUGUGCUGGUAAAACCGUGAGUUUAGCUAAAGCAUGAUUAGCAUUUAUUCUUUAAACGGAGAUGGUAUUCAACUCGUUAAUGCUUAUAAUCAUUGUUUGAUUGCAAAUAGAAGUCAAGUUUUACUGGGUAUGGGGAAAUUUCUCUUCUUCUGAUGUUUUAUUAACUGGUUCAUUUUCCUUCUAUUUUAGCUUUAAGAUUUGCUGCAAGCAGGUUUGUGACUCAUUUGGUUCCAUGGAAAAUUUAAGUGAUGCUGGGAUCCGUGAUAUAGUUAUUCAGAUUGAUGAUUAGGCCCUUCUCCAAUUCAGAAGGAUGUACAACAACAAUAACAAACCCAGUGUAAUCCCAUAGGUGUGGGGUAUGUGAAGGGUAAUGUGUACGCAGACCUUACCCCUACCUUGUGAAGGUAGAGAGGUUGUUUCCGAUAGACCCUCGACUCAAGGGACAGUGAAAAUAGAGUAACAAACAGUAACAACAACAAUGCAAUAGGGGCAAAUGGCACAACAUGUAACAAAAUAGAACCAGGAAUAAGAGAAAUACAAAAAUAGUACUAGUACUACUGGUAAUACUAAGAGACACUAGCGAAUACCUGUCAUCCUUCCACCCUAAUUCUCAAUCUGCACCCUUUUCUAUUGAGGGUCAUGUCUUCCGUAAGCUGGAGCAAUAACAUGUCCUACCUAAUCACCUCACCCCAAUACUUUUUAAGCUUACCCCUACCCUUCCUAAGGCCCGUCAUGCACAACCCCUCACACCUCCUGACUGGGGCAUUUAUGUCUCUCCUCUGCACCUGCCUGAAAUAUCUCAGCCUCGAUUCCCACAAUUUGUCCUCCACCGAGGCAACACCCGCCUUUUCCCUAAUAACUUCGUUCCUAAUUUUGUCUUUUCUGGUAUGCUCACACAUCCAUCUCAAUAUCCUCAUUUCAACUACCUUCAUCUUCUGGACAUGAGACUUCUUGACGGGCCAACA